CCUUCUUUUCCUCUCCAUACUUCCAUUUGUUCCAUUCUUUAAAGGUUUAGAGAGAGAGAGAAAGAGAGAUAGUAAAAUAGUGAGAGAAGAAGAGAAAGGAAGGAAAACAGUGAGGAAAAAAAAUAUUAAAGUUUCGACAAGGAAUCUAGUAUUACUUUCUACAUCUUAAGGAGUCUUUUUAGAUAAAAAAAUUUAAUCUGAUUAAUAUUUUGCCUCUUUUGUAUGCCUUUGUGUUCAAAUGAGUCGAAUUAUUCUGGUUUU
rnacentral:lncRNA from 1 species